rnacentral:rRNA from 1 species
UCCUACGGGAGGCAGCAGUGGGGAAUAUUGGACAAUGGGCGCAAGCGUGAUCCAGCAAUCCCGCGUGUGUGAAGAAGGCCCUCGGGUUGUAAAGCACUUUUAUCAGGAGCGAAAUCUGCACGGUUAAUACCCGUGCAGUAUGACGGUACCUGAGGAAUAAGCACCGGCUAACUCCGUGCCAGCAGCCGCGGUAAUACGGAGGGUGCAAGCGUUAAUCGGAAUUACUGGGCGUAAAGCGUGCGUAGGCGGUUCGUUAAGUUUGCUGUGAAAGCCCCGGGCUCAACCUGGGAAUGGCAGUGGAUACUGGCGAGCUAGAGUGUGAUAGAGGAUGGUGGAAUUCCCGGUGUAGCGGUGAAAUGCGUAGAGAUCGGGAGGAACAUCAGUGGCGAAGGCGGCCAUCUGGAUC